rnacentral:rRNA from 1 species
GGGAAUACUGCAAAGCUAGGGAGUGGGAGAGGUAGACGGUACUCGGUAGGAAGGGGUAAAAUCCUUUGAUCUAUUGAUGACCACCUGUGGCGAAGGGCGGUCUACCAGAACACGUCCGACGGUGAGGGAUGAAAGCUGGGGGAGCAAACCGGAUUAGAUACCCGGGUAGUCCCAGCCGUAAACCAUGCAAACUCAGUGAUGCAUUGGCUUGUGGCCAAUGCAGUGCUGCAGGGAAGCCGUUAAGUUUGCCGCCUGGGAAGUACGUACGCAAGUAUGAAACUUAAAGGAAUUGGCGGGGGAGCACCACAAGGGGUGAAGCCUGCGGUUCAAUUGGAGUCAACGCCAGAAAUCUUACCCGGAGAGACAGCAGAAUGAAGGUCAAGCUGGAGACUUUACCAGACAAGCUGAGAGGUGGUGCAUGGCCGUCGCCAGCUCGUGCCGUGAGAUGUCCUGUUAAGUCAGGUAACGAGUGAGAUCCCUGCCUCUAGUUGCCACCAUUACUCUCAGGAGUAGUGGGGCGAAUUAGCGGGACCGCCGCAGUUAAUGUGGAGGAAGGAAGGGGCCACGGCAGGUCAGUAUGCCCCGAAACUCUGGGGCCACACGCGGGCUGCAAUGGUAGUGACAAUGGGUCCCGAAUCCGAAAGGAGGAGGUAAUCCUCAAACACUACCACAGUUAUGACUGAGGGCUGCAACUCGCCCUCACGAAUAUGGAAUCCCUAGUAACUGCGUGUCAUUAUCGCGCGGUGAAUACGUCCCUGCUCCUUGCACACACCGCCCGU